AGCCCGCCGCGCUGUAAAUACGAAAGGUUCCGCCGGGGACGGGGGGAGGGAGCCGAGCGUGUACAGAAUGUGCACAAGAAGCUGACAUCCCAUCCUUCUUGGGAACAGCUACAGCAAAAUGCUCAGCUCGGUGAUAGCUGUGAGAACACCAAUCUUCACCCGUCCUUGGGCUGCUAGAAGGAGGGACCCUGAGGCCAGAAGAAAAUUGUGUGAUGCUGUUAGAAGAACCAAGGAUGCCUUCUAUGACUCAUCAGCCUGGUUUUGGAGAAAUACUGGAUUUACCAUCAUUUCCUGAGAGCUGAAGAAAAGUAAGCAACAGGCAAGUAAAAUAUUUGGGUUUGACUGAAGGCUGUUUUCUAGUAUUUCUGCUUCCUGUUUACUUGCUGGAGCAAGGAACACUGUGGCCAUGCAAUCAGCACGUUUUAAACCUCAGCUUGCUGAUACAGCAAGUACUAAUGCUGAUCUGAGUGGAUAUACAAGAAAAAUCCCAAGUGGCGCUUCUUGUAUUAACAAUGAAUCUCUCUACCUUUUGCAGGAAUACCACAAAUAGGCACCAGAGGGUCCUACAACAGAACACAAAGAUGUC
rnacentral:lncRNA from 1 species